rnacentral:lncRNA from 1 species
AUGAAGCUUAGACCACAGCCAGACUUCUUUCAGAACUAAUGGAAACAGUGUUAGACAUGUAGUAUCAAAGUUGGCAAUGGAUUUUAUGAUUAACGUAGGAGGGUUCAUGCUGAUGGAGCUCCCGAUUCAAAGAUGGAUGUGGCUGUAAAGCAGCUGGAAUGGGUUCCUUGGGCUGAAUGAUAGCGGCCUGAAGCUUGGUCCGAGGUUCGAUAAAAUGGGGUUCGGAGCUGUGAAAGAGGUUGGGUUUUAUCCAGAUGUCGGC